GUGAGUAACACGUGAGCAACCUGCCCUAGGCUUUGGGAUAACCCCGGGAAACCGGGGCUAAUACCGAAUAUGACCUUUCCUCGCAUGAGGAAAGGUGGAAAGUUUUUCGGCCUGGGAUGGGCUCGCGGCCUAUCAGCUUGUUGGUGGGGUGAUGGCCUACCAAGGCGACGACGGGUAGCCGGCCUGAGAGGGCGACCGGCCACACUGGGACUGAGACACGGCCCAGACUCCUACGGGAGGCAGCAGUGGGGAAUAUUGCACAAUGGGCGGAAGCCUGAUGCAGCGACGCCGCGUGAGGGAUGACGGCCUUCGGGUUGUAAACCUCUUUCAGCAGGGACGAAGCGUAAGUGACGGUACCUGCAGAAGAAGCGCCGGCCAACUACGUGCCAGCAGCCGCGGUAAGACGUAGGGCGCGAGCGUUGUCCGGAUUUAUUGGGCGUAAAGAGCUCGUAGGCGGCUUGUCGCGUCGACUGUGAAAACCCGCAGCUCAACUGCGGGCCUGCAGUCGAUACGGGCAGGCUAGAGUUCGGUAGGGGAGACUGGAAUUCCUGGUGUAGCGGUGAAAUGCGCAGAUAUCAGGAGGAACACCGGUGGCGAAGGCGGGUCUCUGGGCCGAUACUGACGCUGAGGAGCGAAAGCGUGGGGAGCGAACAGGAUUAGAUACCCUGGUAGUCCACGCUGUAAACGUUG
rnacentral:rRNA from 1 species